GCAGCACAAGAUUGAGAGGGAUUCCCAGAAGAGCGAAGAAGAUGCAGAAGAGACGGGCACCCAUUGUUUGGGGGCUCAGGUUCCCAUAGCCUGAGGCAGAGGAGGAGAAUUUCCAGAUCCAUGGAAGGUGAAGAAAGGGGCAUAUUGAAGAAAAUGGAGAAAAAGGAUGAAAGAGCAUUAUCUCUUUCCUUGAUGAUAUAUUCCCUUGGAGAAGGUGAAGAUGGAAUGGAAUAGGACAGCCACUGGUUGAAGGCCCUGCCCAAUUCCUCCUUGGCUUUGCAGAAAGGGACAAGGAAGAGCAAUUCUAAAUGAACUUUAUGACAUCAGGAAGGUCCCAUCCAUCUGAAAAGUUUUUGCUUCCCUUUUAUACCUUUAUUUACUCUUCUCUCAUCCCUCUCCUACCCCCUUCUCCUUUUCUGCCACCCAACCCUAGGAAUUAACCCUAUAAAUUUAACCCUAGUAACCCAGUAUUCCUACUGCCAUCAUUUUAUUGAAAUUAUUUCCAGUCUAAGGUCAUUAGUGACCUCCUUAGGUCUCCUCUUUCUUAACUGUUCUGUAGCAUCCAUUCCUGUUGACCAUUCCAGCAUACUCUCUUCCCUUGGCUUUCAUAAUAUGGUAUUAUACUGGUUUGAUUCUACUCCUACUUCUCUAACUUAUCUUUCUCUGUCUCCUCUUUUAUCCCCUCUUUCCCUUCCCAUCUUCACUGAUGAGCCAUCUCUCUUCUAUCUUUUCAUUCUUUUCAUUCAACCAUCAAGUCUAAUUUGAUAACCAUAUCUGUAACUUUAGUUCUCUGUUUCAGCUUUUUAUAGGAUUUGUAGGAAUCCUAUUUGUAAUUCAAGUUCUUCAUCCAUCCAUCCAUCCAUCUAUCCACCCACCCAUCCAUCCAUCCAUACAUCCAUCUAUUUGCCUACUAAAUACAAAGCUAAAUCUAAAAUCAAACAAGCUCCCUGUUUGUUAGUUCUACUAGUCACUCAACUAACAAUUUUAUUUACAAAUUUAUUCUAUUAAUUCUUUUCCCAAAAGGUUUCUCAUAUCUGCUCAUUCCUCUUUAUUCCUCUCAUUACCAACCUAGUUCAGUCUGCUAUUCCCUCACACUAAGGUAAUUUUAAUAAUAACAAAAAUGACUGUGCCAUGUGAACUAAUUGAUGGAAAAGGAGGUGCUUUAUGAUGGUACUUACAGACCAGGACACUGCCACCAGAAAUUAGAGAAAGAAUUAUCCUUAAGGGUCCUAACCAUAGUGAUCAAGAGGAGAUUAUGCAAAAGAAAUGAUGAAAAAAUUAUACAGUACUACUAUAGUCCAUAAAAACUUAGCACCUAAUGAAUACUUAGCAAUACACAAUCUGUUGGCUAGAAUUAUGUAUACAUCAGAACUUUGCUGUCCUUCAUGAACUCACAUAGACAAAUCCCUAUACUACUAAUAUAGACUUCAAAAUAUCCUGGAGGCCUCAACCAAUAAAAUGUACUUGAA